UCCAGACUCCUACGGGAGGCAGCAGUGGGGGAUAUUGCACAAUGGGGGGAACCCUGAUGCAGCGACGCCGCGUGGGUGAAGGAGCGUUUCGGCGCGUAAAGCCCUAUCGGCAGGGAAGAAGGAGGACGGUACCUGACUAAGAAGCCCCGGCUAACUACGUGCCAGCAGCCGCGGUAAUACGUAGGGGGCAAGCGUUAUCCGGAUUUACUGGGUGUAAAGGGGGCGCAGACGGCAGCGCAAGCCAGGAGUGAAAGCCCGGGGCCCAACCCCGGGACUGCUCUUGGAACUGCGCGGCUGGAGUGCAGGAGGGGCAGGCGGAAUUCCUGGUGUAGCGGUGAAAUGCGUAGAUAUCAGGAGGAACACCGGUGGCGAAGGCGGCCUGCUGGACUGCGACUGACGUUGAGGCUCGAAAGCGUGGGGAGCAAACAGGAUUAGAUACCCGAGUAU
rnacentral:rRNA from 1 species